GGCUCGGUAGCAGAUGGUCUGCAUCUGCUUUCCAUUGUAGAUUAUUACAAAGUAUUGAGGACAAAGCCUGUUCGACUCAGGCCCGAGCCA